AUUUCAUCUGGAUGAAAUAUGAUGCCCCCUUUACAUUUUUUUUUCCCUAGAAAAGUCCUCACUGUGAGAAGAUAUGGUAACUUGGCCCAGGCUGGAGCGCAGUGGCGCGAUCUCAGUUCACUGCAGGCUCCGCCUCCCGGGUUCCCGCCAUUCUCCUGCCUCAGCCUCCCCAGUAGCUGGGACUACAGGCACCGCCACCUCGCCCGGCUAGUUUUUUUGUAUUUUUAGUAGAAACGGGGUUUCACCGUGUUAGCCAGGAUGGUCUCCAUCUCCUGACCUCGUGAUCCGCCCCUAUCAACCUCCCAAAGUGCUGGGAUUACAGGCGUGAGCCACCGCGCCCGGCCGCAAUGUGGUAACUUUUAAAAUCUCAGCGGUAGACUUGUCUCAGCCUGGGGGUCUAUCCUUGCAAGCCACCUGCAGUGUUAAUGGGUUUGUCCGAAUGUAGGAUGGAAAUUAAGUACGUCUCUGGACAGCGGUUUUCUCUUUUCUCUGUUGAAUGUGUUUUCAUGUGAGUAGAAACGAUCUUGUGUUUUUCAGAUGCUCUCUUUUGAAGAAGUCAUAACUGAAAAUGUGGUUGGAACUCAGGACUGCUCUUGCAGUUCAACAUCAGCUGCAGGCCCUUCCCUGGAACACUCUGGAAGUCUGAGGAACCUGCAGGCACCUGUGGUUGCUGGAGCUGUCUUCUCCAGAGGCAGCAGGCAGUUCUCUGUGGAGGGACCCAGAUGGUCUGCAUUCAAGAAUGUUGGCAUCUGUUGAGUCAAAGGAGCCAGGAGGUGGAGACUGAGAAGAUUUAGAAGCUCUGAUGAAGUGGAUGGAGAAUGGAACCAACUGAGGUUAUGUAGAAUUGGCUCCUGAGGGCCAGAUAACAUCAGGAAUCACGUGCUGGUGAUGGAGGAGCCAGAUAGGAUGGUAAUUUCCCAUGAAAUCUGAGUGGGAGAAGAUCAGGAGAAGGAAACACUAAAGAUAGAGACAGAAGGCAGAAACUUGAUGGAGCCAGGUCAUGGAGUAGGCAGGAGAUGGGAGCAAAGGUAAAAUACAGUAAGUAGAAAGAUGGGGCCCAGUGUGGGGGUGGAGAGAGUUCUUGGGGAACUGGGUGCAUAUUAUUUUCGCUGAAUAGGAG
rnacentral:lncRNA from 1 species